GAGUUUGAUCUUGGCUCAGGAUAAAUGCUGGCGGCGUGCCUAAUACAUGCAAGUCGAGCGGUAAGGCUACUUCGGUAGUACACGAGCGGCGGACGGCUUAGUAACGCGUAGGAACGUACCCCAAACUGAGGGAUAAUUCACCGAAAGGUGGACUAAUACCGCAUGUGCUCUUCGGAGUAAAGCUACGGCGGUUUGGGAACGGCCUGCGUCCGAUUAGCUAGUUGGUGAGGUAAUGGCUCACCAAGGCGACGAUCGGUAGCUGGUCUGAGAGGAUGAUCAGCAAGACUGGGACUGAGAACGGCCCAGACUCCUACGGGAGGCAGCAGUAGGGAAUUUUCCACAAUGGACGAAAGUCUGAUGGAGCAACGCCGCGUGCAGGAUGAAGGCUUUCGGGUCGUAAACUGCUUUUAUCUGUGAUGAAUUUGACAGUAGCAGAAGAAUAAGGAUCGGCUAACUACGUGCCAGCCGCCGCCGUAAC
rnacentral:rRNA from 1 species